rnacentral:rRNA from 1 species
GACGAACGCUGGCGGCGUGCUUAACACAUGCACGCCGAACGGAAAGGCCCUGCUUUUGUGGGGUGCUCGAGGGGCGAACGGGUGUGUAACAGGUGAGUAACAUGCCCUUGACUUUGGGAUAACUUCCGGAAACUGGGGCUAAUACCGGAUAGGUGACCCUGCUGCAUGGCGGGGGUUGGAAAGUUUCGGCGGUUGGGGAUGGACUCACGGCUUAUCAGCUUGUUGGUGGGGUAGUGGCGUACCAAGGGUUUGACGGGUAGGCGGGCUGAGAGGGUGACCGGCAACAUUGGGAAUGAGAUACGGCCCAGACUCCUACGGGAGGCAGCAGUGGGGAAUAUUGCACAAUGGGCGGAAGCCUGAUGCAGCAACGCCGCGUGCGGGAUGACGGCCUUCGGGUUGUAGACCGCUUUCGCCUGUGACGAAGCGUGAGUGACGGUAAUGGGUAAAGAAGCACCGGCUAACUACGUG